UGGGGAAUAUUGCACAAUGGGCGCAAGCCUGAUGCAGCGACGCCGCGUGCGGGAUGGAGGCCUCGGUUGUAACCGCUUUGUUCAAGGGCAAGGCACGGUCUUUGGCCGUGUUGAGUGGAUUGUUCGAAUAAGCACCGGCUAACUACGUGCC
rnacentral:rRNA from 1 species